UUCUAGGCAUUGAAUGUAACAGUUGUUCGUACAGCAGAGGACGCUAUAGCAAUCUAAAUUGGUGUUCAAUUUGAACCAUUCAGUGCAAAAUUGAAGACGUUUUUCUCAGAAAUCCAUGCGAACCACGCCACAGAUGAGCAUAUAAGAAAAUAAAAAAAUAAAUAUGUUGUUUCAGUUCAUGGGAAAUAUUAAAGUCAAAGUUACAAUAUACUGAGUUUCCUGAUAAAGUACGUUAAAUACUCAACAUAAUUUGGGAAGCGAAACAGUACCUAAAACAAAAAAAAUAUAUAUACAUAGACAUUCGAAGAAACCGACAAGCGAAAUCGAGUGUGUAAAUACGCCUAUAAUAUACGUUAGUACGGUAUUUAUAUAUUCUGUGAAAAGAUAAUCAAACAUGUCAUCACAACGGACAGUACAAGUCAUGCUAGAAAUAUUGGUCGUGUUACUCUGGAUAUCAUGCGUUGUAACUUUACCCGUCGCUCUUCAAAAAGACACACUGAUAAAUCGACUUCCUAACCUGCGUGAUAGACGAAACACACCAGGAAUGGACCCGUCGGACCAUGGAAUGAUAGUAAACGAGAAUGUGGUUCGCUUGAUGUUCCCAGAGAAGCAACAUUUACUGCAUUACCUUGCCUCAAGGAGCCGAGAAGUGAAGAGACAGCGGCAAUGCUAUUGGUCCGUUAUAUCGUGCUUCUAACAGCGCUGCUAUUCAACCCGGGACGCAGUAGACAAAACAACACGAGGAUAUAUUAAUAAAGCGAUUUAUAUUACACUCACCUGAAUAAAAUCUAUUGAUAAAUUUUGCAUGUAAAUAUAUUUUGCAUUCAACAGAACAAAUUAUUCCUUAUGUUUUCAUGAUUUCGAUCUGUUGCUGCGAUGCAGAUACGAUAUAUCUUUUGAAAUACCACAUAGCAUUAGGAGGCAAUAAAAUAUACUUAUAAAAAAAUCUUAAUUCAGUCCUCUAUCUUGUGUUGUAAACAAACGGAACAUGUUAUUAUUUAAUCAAAUAAAAGAAACGAGAUAGGCUUGUUAAAAGUUUU